CCCACGGAACCGGAAACGGAAGGCGCGUGGGGACGGUCCCGAGGCCGCAGGCAGGCAUCUUCGUCGCCCUCCAUGUAUAUACGACGGCGAGGAGGAUCAGGAGAAGCAGAAACGGAGCGACUGCCAGAGAAACGGAAAACCUGAGAAGGAGAGAUGAAUGGGGGAGAACGGAUCAGGUUGAUGGAAACAGAGCUACAGCUGUCAGCCUGUGACAGAGCCAUAGCAACUCUGGAUCUGAGCCGCAUCUGCGACCACAGCUCACUGCAACGCUGGAUCUUUGACUUACUGCGCAAGGCCAGGGAAAGAACCCCCAACUUCAUGGCUCCUAGUGGAAUACGUUUCUGCUGCGCCACGAUGGGAACUCCCU
ensembl:lncRNA